GACGAACGCUGGCGGCGUGCUUAACACAUGCAAGUCGAAUGGUGAAAGCGGAGCUUGCUCCUCUGGAUCAGUGGCGAACGGGUGAGUAACACGUGGGCAACCUGCCCCUGACUUCGGGAUAACUCCUCGAAAGAGGUGCUAAUACCGGAUACGAAUCCUGCAGGCAUCUGCGGGAUUGGAAAGUUUUUCGGUCAGGGAUGGGCCCGCGGCCUAUCAGCUUGUUGGUGAGGUAGUGGCUCACCAAGGCGACGACGGGUAGCCGGCCUGAGAGGGCGACCGGCCACACUGGGACUGAGACACGGCCCAGACUCCUACGGGAGGCAGCAGUGGGAAAUAUUGCGCAAUGGGCGAAAGCCUGACGCAGCAACACCGCGUGAGGGAUGACGGCCUUCGGGUUGUAAACCUCUUUCAGCAGGGAAGAAGCGAAAGUGACGGUACCUGCAGAAGAAGCACCGGCUAACUACGUGCCAGCAGCCGCGGUAA
rnacentral:rRNA from 1 species